rnacentral:lncRNA from 1 species
CCUGGCGUCAUCUGUUGGCAAAAAAAUUAACACCAUAUCUCAUGGAAUAUAGGCUGCGCCCACAACCGUGGAGGGGGCCUGAUAAUGAAGGACGGGGAUGGCCGGACAGGGACAAGCACCCCGAAAAAACUUUUCAGGAGUUAUCAGACCGGGGACGCCAACCUGGUUCUCCUGCGUGGCACGCUGACAGAGUUACCACUCGGCCAUCCGACUAUCCAUCGAUAAGCACUACGAACAUGAAAAAUUUUCUACUUGAUUUUUAAGGAUUCACUUAAUCUUAAUCAUCUUAAUAGAACUAUACAGGUGACCGGAUGGCCGAGUGGUAACGUUGUCCUACGUGCUACGCAUGCAAUAAUUCAC